AUGAAUAUUCAUUUGUGCUAAAAUUCGUAUAACUUUUGGGAUUUCUGGUCAUUUUCCUGACUACCCAGAGGCUGCCUGAGUUCUUGUGAACAACAGUCUCACAUCAUCAGUUGUGGCAAACCAAAUUCAGCACUUAAUUGCAAAAACAUCUGAGGAGGAUAUUUGGUACUCAGUUGACACAACGCUUACAGAUAUCUGAUUGCUCCAACAUGAGUGAUCAAUAGGAUUUGAACCCAGAACUUUAAAUAGUGCAUCACAGGCCACUGAAGCUAAUGAAGUACUGUAACUCUACCAGCUAGCAUGUUGUUAGUGCUUAGUAGGCCAGUACAUGGGGAUCUUUGCAGUGGUCCUAUAAGGCAUCUUCACAAUGCUGAUCGGGAAAGUGCUUUCCACAUCUGCAACCUAUUAGAGGAUUAGAAAGCUCCUGAAGCAGUUUAGUGUUAUGUACGACACAAUAAUGACACAACCAUCAAAUUACUCUGCCACAUGCCUGUAAACGUCUUCCAUGCA